rnacentral:tRNA from 1 species
GCGCCUGUAGCUCAGCUGGAUAGAGCGCCGGACUUCGAAUCCGUAGGCCGGGGGUUCGAAUCCCUCCAGGCGUACCA